AAGGAACUCUUGUCGUGUUCAACUUGGAUCCAUCGGUAUCCAAUGAGGAUCUUCGGCAAAUCUUUGGAGUGUAUGGGGAAGUCAAGGAGAUUAGAGAAACACCACAUAAACGCCAUCACAAAUUCAUCGAAUUCUACGAUGUCAGAGCAGCUGAUGCAGCUCUUAAAGCAUUAAAUCGUAGUGACAUUGCUGGAAAGCGGAUAAAACUUGAACCCAGCCGACCUGGUGGAGCCCGUCGAAAUUUGAU
rnacentral:misc_RNA from 1 species